AUGCAAUUGAAGAGUUUGAUCAUGGCUCAGAUUGAACGCUGGCGGCAUGCCUAACACAUGCAAGUCGAACGGUAACAGCAAGAGCUUGCUCUUGGCUGACGAGUGGCGGACGGGUGAGGAAUACUUAGGAAUCUGCCCAAUAGUGGGGGACAACUCCGGGAAACCGGAGCUAAUACCGCAUACGCCCUACGGGGGAAAGCAGGGGAUCUUUCGGGACCUUGCGCUAUUGGAUGAGCCUAAGUCGGAUUAGCUUGUUGGUGGGGUAAUGGCCCACCAAGGCGACGAUCCGUAGCUGGUCUGAGAGGAUGAUCAGCCACACUGGGACUGAGACACGGCCCAGACUCCUACGGGAGGCAGCAGUGGGGAAUAUUGGACAAUGGGCGAAAGCCUGAUCCAGCAAUGCCGCGUGUGUGAAGAAGGCCUGCGGGUUGUAAAGCACUUUCAGUAGCGAGGAAAAGCUUAAGGUUAAUAACCUUGAGUCUUGACGUUAACUACAGAAGAAGCACCGGCUAACUCUGUGCCAGCAGCCGCGGUAAUACAGAGGGUGCAAGCGUUAAUCGGAAUUACUGGGCGUAAAGCGCGCGUAGGCGGUUUAAUCAGUCGGAUGUGAAAGCCCCGGGCUCAACCUGGGAACUGCAUUCGAUACUGUUAAGCUAGAGUAUGGUAGAGGGAAGUGGAAUUCCAGGUGUAGCGGUGAAAUGCGUAGAUAUCUGGAGGAACAUCAGUGGCGAAGGCGACUUCCUGGACCAAUACUGACGCUGAGGUGCGAAAGCGUGGGGA
rnacentral:rRNA from 1 species